rnacentral:lncRNA from 1 species
GACUGCUUCUGGGGGCACUCCUCACAGAAGAUAGGGGUGAGAGUAUGCCAGCUCUCCUGUCAGCACAAACAGCAAAGUAUUGCUGCCCAAAUUAUCCAACUGGAGCUGAGGGUAACAUUCACAUUAUCUAUAGUGGUCAUUUUCAAUGUUUUAUAAAAACCAGUGAUACUCUUCUAUUCCAAUAAAAUCUUGUGCAAGCUCUCCCCAGAGAGGGGGGCAAGAAAAAGGGACAGAGGGAGGAGGAGGAGGAAGAAGAGGAGGAAGUAAGAAGAGGAGAGGGAGAGGGAGAGAGAGAGAGAGAGAUUGACAGAAGAGAGGAAAGAACCUUCUUCAGUUCACAUUGGAGAGGACCUGGCCAUUUUUUCAGCACAACAAUGUUUGCUAAUUUUGACCUGCAAAGCCUGGGGCUGCUUCUUGUCAGCACAUGGGAAGGGACAUACUAAAGGACUGUGGUGACAUGUCAGGUCACCUCCCCAGACAGAGGUGGCUGAAGUGCCCCUACUUUGAUCCCAAGGGUCUGGAAAUCCCUGGUCUGAUCUAGGUGGAUGGAUGGGCAUUAGGAGGUAAGGAAGGAAGGACAGGAGAGAAGAAAGGGGAGAAAGGGAAGGAAGGAGGCUUCUAUUGCUACUUGCACAGGGUUAUUAUGAAAAUCAAAAGGAGAAUUUGUAUUUUGAGUCUGAUAAAUUGGAGUUUCCUUUUCCUCAAGGCACACUUUGAGUCUUCCCAUCUCAAUAAAACAAGCCGUGGUACACCAAGACACUUGAAGGGACAGUAUAACACACUUGUUAAGUGUAUGGGCUCUGGAGCCAUACUGCCUCGCUUGAAUCCUGACCCUGCUACUUAGGAGCUGUGUGAUAUUGGACAAGCUAUUUAACCUUUUUGUGCCUUAGUUUCCCCAUUAGUAAAAGGCAAUGUUGAUAGUAUCUACUUGGUGGGGUCAUGAUGAUCCUCCCUGUCAGUGUGUAUAUGGUGUUUAGAAGAGUGGUUGGCAUAUGGUAAGGGCUUACUUACUUAGUGGGAGCUAUUGUUACUGUAUAGGUAUGUAAGUAUAAUAUUCUUUGUAAAUGCUGGGUCCUACACAUAAAAUUUCUAGCCCUCUGCUAUCAGAUAGGCAUCCUGCCUCACCUCAGCGCUCCGGACAACCCCAGAGGUGGCUCAGCUCACUCAGCACUCAGAGCAGCUAGGGCACUGUGAGCAUGAUGGGUCAUAGGGUGAGGAAGGAGCAAGAGAGUUUAAUGCCCUUUAUUAUUUUGCUUGAUGCGGAAGGAAUCUGAGUGGGUAUUCAGCCACAAUCUUAUUAGACUGUUGUAGGAUAUGGAAAGACAAGCCUUGCCCUAGUCUUUAUGAUCUAUAAACCCCAAGGGCAUUAAAGGAGGAGGGCAUGGUGGAAGACCAGUGGACUCCUCGCUCAAAGUAGAUUUAUGCUGAGCUCAAAAAAGGCACGAGGCUAUAGUGUCUCUUGCCUAAAAUUCAUAGUUUUAUUCUCUUGAUGCCACCUGCUUCCCAGAGAUAAGGCAGUGACAUGACAUCUCAGGUCCUAUGCAAAGGAUUUUCCAAGGGUAUCCCCCAACCACUGUAAGGAGAUCCAUGUGUAAGAGGUUUUAUGAUGACCACAACUUUAGGUAUCUUGUUUCCAUCUGCCUGGCAUUGCCUCUAGGGCUCCCAUUAGUCUGUUAAAUGCAGAGGGGGUCAUUUCCCACAGGGAACUUACCAUUUACUCUGGACCAUUGAACUCACAGGCUAACCUCCAUGGUACAGACAGUAUCUGUCAUGGUCAGAGGGAUGAUGAAUGGGGGCCUCUGUGGAAGAGGAAGGAAGAGUAUGCCUUAAAUGGGGAAAAUGGAGGUGGAAGAGGAAGUAUGGCCUCAUUAGAGAAGUAGAAAUGGGUCUGGGUGGGCCAGGGAGAAUGAGGAGACCAGAUUGAUGGCAGCCUCAGAAGUAGCACAUGGACCUAAAGACGCAAGGGUCCAGCAGGAGUAGGAGUAGCCUGCAAGUCCCAGCUGGGUCAUUUUGACUUGAUUCUAUAGGAAAUGCCAUGUGAUAUAUGACUGAGAAGGACUUGUCUUCUGGCAGAAACCCAGCUAAGAAACAUUCCCAGGCAGGAGAAGGGCAGGGGCAGUGUGAAGGUCUGUAACAGCUUGCAUGAGUGUACAGGCAUACAGCUGAGUGUGUGUGGCCAGACACAUCUCUAAACCAAAUCCUCCUGGUGGGGAUUAUGCAUUACUUUCUCUAGUUCUUCAAGUCCCUUAAUCCUCCGGGCCCUGAGCAUGGAUAAUCUACGGCUUACAUAGACAUGAUUUUUCACAAGCUUUUGCACAGUGUACUGUUUGCUGGAGGAGAAACUGAGGCUCUAUGUUUUAAAAAGCGUGGUUCUGGGAUCCCUGGGUGGCGCAGCAGUUUGGCGCCUGCCUUUGGCCCAGGGCGUGAUCCUGGAGACCCGGGAUCGAAUCCCACAUCGGGCUCCCGAUGCAUGGAGCCUGCUUCUCCCUCUGCCUGUGUCUCUGCCUCUCUCUCUCUCUCU